rnacentral:lncRNA from 1 species
AAAAUUAGAGUUUUAGGCUUGCUUUGAAUAAGAUUAGGUCAUUAGACUCAUCUAACAAUCCCAAGAUAAAGAAGUCUACUUACUCAUGUUCAUUGUAGACAUUUAGAAGAAGAAGAAUAAUAUGAAAGGAAAUAGCAAGAAUAAAAAGAAAUAAAAAGAAGAACUUUUAUUUAUGGAAACAAUUGUCACAUAUAAUUCCCAAGAACAAAAGAUGGCUGAAAGUAAAAGUGCAAAAUUGUAAAGGAACAAGAAAUUAAAGAACAAGAAAAUAAAGCUUUGAUCAAUUUGAUUCAAUGGAAAUAAUUGUCACAAAGAAUUCCCAAGAACAAAAGAUGAUGAGAUAUGUCUGGUGACUGCUCUAUUUAUAGCCUAAAACUGACUUAAGUCCUAAGAAGUAAAUCACUAUAAUGUUCCAAAAUGAAAUCCAUGAGCUUUUAGGCCAAAAACAUAACAAAUAACAGUUGAAACCUUGGCAUGGGUCGUGCCAGUCUUGUAAGAAAAAGCAGCAAAAGGGAGCUGGGGCAUCGAGCACGGUCGUGCCACCACAGGCACGGGCCGUGCCAACUUCUCUGGAAAAUGGCCUCCUUUGAAUAACUUGGAGGCAUGGCCGGUGCCAUUGUCAGGCACGACCAUGCUUGAUAUUUUUGCACAGGAUCUUUAUAUUUUUGUCUUCAAUCAGCUCCAAAUUAUGCUCUAGAUCCUUCCAUCCUUUAAUUAUGCUCCAAAACCCUUUCUUUUGCUCCAAGACUCAAUAUUUCACCAUAUUUGUUCCUGAAAUUAAAUAACAAGCAAUUGAAGUAACAAAACUCUAUAAAGUGAAUAAAAACACAUAAAAUCUAAAUAAAAUAAAUUAAAAUAAACUCUUAAAAAUAUUAAUUAUUGACUUAUAAACAAAAUAUAAUAAACAAAUUGGAUAGACUAAAUCCAUGUUAAACCAUAUUAUAGUGACAAAAGUACUAUUAACUCUUCUUUUUAUAAUAUGGAGGAGAAGGAUUACUUCCAAAUCCCAAAUCAAGCAAAGGUUAUGGUACUAUUUCUAUUUUCUAAUGUCUUGACUCCUUCCACACGUAUACAUGGUAAUAGUAUAUGUAUAUUUUCCUUUGGAAAGUACAACACAAGGCGUGUUCUGUUUUAGUUUUUCCUUUCAUUAUUUUUC